UAGGAAACAGAGUGUUGAUGUCUGGACUAUUCUACUGCUGUGAAGUUUAAGAUAUAAUACUUUUAUAAAAAAAGACAGAUCAAUUGAGAGACACAAACUUCUGGGAGGACAGUGAAUUGACAUUUGUUUUUCUCAACAUGAAAACGGAAUGAGACAUUCUAGUGGACUAAUUGAUGACACUUAAACUGUAGGGAUCCAAAAAUCUACAACAAUGAGAAAUUCAUCAAUAGAAGUGCAGUGAUAAACUCCAGUAGCAGGUGUUCAAGGAAUUCAGAAUCAAUAAUUAAGUGUUCUAACUCCAGUGAUAAACUCCACUAACAGGUGUUCAAGGAAUUCAAAAUCAAUAAUUAAGUGUUACAACUACAGUGACAGGGCUUGACACUAACUUUUUUUAGGGGUAGUCAGAAGGACUACCUACUUUGAGGAUCAGGUAGUCCUUGGCAAAUCUAGUGAAUUUAGAGACAUCAGGUCACUGAAAUUUUGAGUAGCCCGACGGGAUACCCAGCUUGGAAACUCGGGUAGUCCUUGGGGAAAAUUGGUAGCCUCGGGCUAACGGACCAUCGUUAGUGUCGAGCCCUGAGUGAUAAACUCCAGUAGCAGGUGUUCAAGGAAUUUAAAAUCAAUUAUAUCAUAGUGUUCCAACUCCAGUGAUAAACUCCAGUAGCAGGUGUUCAAGGAAUUUAAAAUCAAUUAUAUCAUAGUGUUCCAACUCCAGUGAUAAACUCCAGUAGCAGGUGUUCAAGGAAUUCAAAAUCAAUUAUAUCAUAGUGUUCCAACUCCAGUGAUAAACUCCAGUAGCAGGUGUUCAAGGAAUUCAGAAUCAAUAAUUAAGUGUUCUAACUCCAGUGAUAAACUUCAGUAGCAGGUGUUCAAGGAAUUCAGAAUCAGUAAUAUAGUGUUCUCACUCCAGUGAUAAACUCCAGUGAUUACAUUUAUAAAUUAUUUUAAAAGAUACGUCUUAAAGAUCUUUAUUAUACCUCUGUAUUUCAAACCACUUGCCCCUCACCGCUGUGGGUUCGAAUCCCGACACAUGGAUUCUUUCAUGUGAGGAAGCUAUCCUGCUAGCUUACAGAACGUCGGUGGUUCUACUCAGGUUCCCGUUUGUGCAUGAAAUAAUGCAUGGAAGGGCACCUGAGGUCUUCCUCCACCAGUAAAGCUGAAUGUCUCAAUAUGACCUAUAAUGUGUCGAUGUGACAUAAAACCCAAAACAAACAAAUAAAAAUACAUUUGUAAAUUAUUUAAAAAGAUAUGUCUUAAAGAUCUUUAUUAUACCUCUAGCUGUACAACUAAGUUAUGCAGCUGGUAUACUGGUUUAAGGCUGUGAGUCAUUGUGGUUGUCUGGCCAUUUAUAUGUACCUCUGUUUAAAUGCUUAACCAAUAAUAAUUUAACUUGACAAGAAUAAUUGUCACAAUAUCUAUUUGCCCAAUUUUUUCAUGCAGUACAGCAGGUAAAGUAGUACUCUUACUCCUGAUUAAAUUUUUUCAUUAAUAACUUUGGAAAUUUUCUGUCAUAAAAAAUAUAAAGCUGUAAGAAAUACAAAUAUCUAUGCCAUUUGUUAAAUUUUCAAAGUCAAAUCAAAUGUUUUAUUAGCAAAAACAUAUACCCGGUACAUGUUCAUUGCCAAGUUACAUUUAAGCGGUACAAUAAGUACAGAAAAGUAAGAUGUAUUAUAAAUUAUUAUACAUACACUUAUGUCUCAGAGUAAAAUAAUUCAAACAAUUGUAUUAAAGGGACUCCACUGACAUAUUUUUGACAUAACAAUACUAAAAAUUAUUUUUUGAGAUUAAUGUUCCAUUUGAUGUAGGUCUCAACCAGUAAUAUGUGUGAAAAAAUUCAGAUUAUUAGCUCACUCCGUUUUUCCAGAAUAAUUCUUCUUCUUAUGAAAAUGACCAAAAAUUGAAAAGUGUUUCAACAUUUUAUUACUUUUAUCAGGUUGAAAAUAGCAAAAAAUACAAUUUUGAAUUUAUUUUUGGGUAUUUCUUAAUCAUCUUUUGCAUAUCUUUCUGUUUUAAGUGCCCCAGCUUAUCCAUCAACAACAUUCAAAUUUUUAUGUUCCUAGGAUUUUGGACCUGAGUGGAGUUCCUUUAACGUAGGUUCAAUUCAUAGUUGCAUGGCUUAUUAAACAAAUUUUGCUAAGUUUAUAUUUACACAUUUGUUUGUACAUUUCAUUAUAGAUCUACUCAGUUUCAAUUUGUUUCAUAUUUUAUUUUGUACAUUUUGGUUUCUUUCAAUAUUUCUAUGUCUACCCUCUUUAAUAACUAAUUUAAGUGAAGAGCACCUAAACUUUGAUAGCAUUUUACAAUGCUUAAAAUUAUUAACACAACUUUAAUAUUUCUCUUGGGUAAAUUCUAUUUUAAACAAAUUAUAACUUUCAAAAUUUGAAAAAGUAAUAAGUUAGCACACCAUUGUUGUAGUUGCUGAUCAAAAAUAUUUUGUAUUUUGGUAUUUACGGAUUAUCAUUAUUCUAUACAUGUAUAAUUACUUAAAUCUGACGACAUAUUUUUAACAUUUUUUGACCAGCUAUUUAAUAAAUUACCAUUUGCAUCAUUAAAAAGCACCGGUUUGUAUAAAAGAGAGUUUUGGGAUUUCAUAAUUCUGUACAAGUACUAAAUAAUUCUGACUUUUCCCAGAACUAAUAAAGGAUUUAGUAUACAUUUAUUUUGAAAUACCCAUUGAGUAAUGUCCAAUUAAUUAUUUUUGUAAACACAGCAGGUGAAGUAUAAAUGUGUCAAUUUGAAUUUUAGGAAGUCAUUCCAACAUUUAUAUAUAACAGGUGUUGCAGACUGAUUAAUUACAUCACAAACAAAUUUGUUGUGACUUUUAAUUGUUCACAAGCAUUUGCUUAACUUUUCUGCUUUUUUCUGCUUAAAGGCCCUUUAUGCCCAGAAAUGUUUUUAGUUUUAUUUCUCAAAAGCUUCUUAUUUUUGGUGUGUUUGUAUUGUUUUAAAAAAAAGUUACUUAUUGUCAAUUACCUUAACCAUCUUUUUCUUCUGUUGCUAUUUCAUUAAUUGGUACAGUUAUAGUGAUUUAGUAUUUUGUAUGGGAGUCAAACUAUUACUUUGUUUAUAUUUUGAAAAUAAUUUCACAUUAUAAUUUUAAGCGGUACUUUCUUCUGGUAACAAGCAUCUGAUAUAAAACAAUGAUUUAAACAUAUGAGCCGUGACAUGACAAA